rnacentral:rRNA from 1 species
GACGAACGCUGGCGGCGUGCUUAACACAUGCAAGUCGAACGGAAAGGCCCUGCUUUUGUGGGGUGCUCGAGUGGCGAACGGGUGAGUAACACGUGAGUAUCCUGCCCUUGACUUUGGGAUAACUUCAGGAAACUGGGGCUAAUACCGGAUAGGAGCUCCUGCUGCAUGGUGGGGGUUGGAAAGUUUCGGCGGUUGGGGAUGGACUCGCGGCUUAUCAGCUUGUUGGUGGGGUAGUGGCUUACCAAGGCUUUGACGGGUAGCCGGCCUGAGGGGGUGACCGGCCACAUUGGGACUGAGAUACGGCCCAGACUCCUACGGGAGGCAGCAGUGGGGAAUAUUGCACAAUGGGCGGAAGCCUGAUGCAGCAACGCCGCGUGCGGGAUGACGGCCUUCGGGUUGUAAACCGCUUUCGCCUGUGACGAAGCGUGAGUGACGGUAAUGGGUAAAGAAGCACCGGCUAACUACGUG